ACUAUUUUGGCAGAAAAUUGUGAUGAUUUUAGAAAUCAUUAAUAUAUAAUUUAUUAUAUAUGUAGUA
rnacentral:tRNA from 1 species